AGAAGACAAACACCAAUUGUUGUAUAAAAGGAGAAAUUUAAAUUGUGAUACGUCAAUUCUUGUCGAUUCUUUGGUUAGUGUUAAGCUGUACAGAGACUGUAACGUAACAUUUUGAGUUCGCUGCGUUGACAGGGUGCGUAUCUUAGCAAUAAGAAUGGACAUCUCUCGACGUGUCUUGAUCGGUCUACUGGUGUUAUCAGUCAUUACCUGUGCCGUAUCAGCUUAUUACUAUAAUAGUGACCUAUAUGAGGAUUAUUACGAAAAUUAUCGAAAAAUGCAAAUGUACAAUUUCAUGAGGCAACAGUAUCAACGAAAUGGAGCAUACCCUCCUUACUUUCCCCAUUAUGCGUUUUACGACGACUAAAUAAACUCCAGGAUCAGGUCAAUGACAGGAUUUGUAUAUUGGCUUAUCGAAGUUGAUAUUUGAUUAAUGUAUCUGAAGAUAAAUUGUAAUUCUGUACCCCCCAAUACUCAUGAAUUGAUAAAUUAUUUUAUA